GUGUCAAUGUCGAUCUGCCGGAAUGUUGUGGGAAAAUUAACGAGAAUGCGCGGCGACCGGCCAAGUCAUCUGGCAGCCAACGUGGAGAGAAGAAUGGAGGGGAUCCUGAGGCCCCAAAUAACUCCUAUAUUAAUAAAGAUAUUCCACAGAAUUAUACUACCUGUUGCCAAGUUUCGGUGUCUGUCUACCAAAUUCUGAUUCGCUUCAUGGGAUUGGCCGGGAAUAACAUAGUUAGCAAAAUAAGGGAAGAGAAAGAAAAGCAUGCGUGGAGUGUUGGGAAUUGAAUGCGCUCCUGGAAACUGGAGAAACAUACGUUUCUGUUACUUAUGGAAGAGGCCCCGGAGGGAGCAAAGUGUUUGAUCC